AUAGAAAAGACACAUUUUAUAGCCAUAACAAAAGAGAAACCGACGGCACAUAUUGUUAAAACGUUUAUACCUCCGUACUUUGCUUUGGUUUGUACCACCACUGGGUAUCCACCGCCACAGAUCGGAUGGGCAUUCGUUAAAGCUGGCUCUAGUACAGGCUCAGUGGGACUUCCGGGCGAUGCUGACGUCACACGUAAAGGGCUCGUCUCCAUAGUAGCGGUCGAUCACUAUAAGUCGGCGUCUCAUGACGGCUCCUGGUAUUGUGCUGCCACCAACUGCCUUGGUGACGUCAUAACUGAAACUGAUAUUCCCUAGGUUAAGGUUAAGUUCAUCCGAUACCUGCAAAGAAAUUUAAAAUUGUUACGUGUAUUUUGUUCAGAUAAAAAGUUCAGACCA